AUUGAACGCUGGCGGCAGGCCUAACACAUGCAAGUCGGGCGAGUGGCGGACGGGUGAGUAAUGUAUGGGGCUCUGCCUGAUGGCGGGGGAUAACUAAUGGAAACGGUAGCUAAUACCGCAUACCAUCAGAUGAACCCAUAUGGGAUUAGCUUGUAGGUGAGGUAACGGCUCACCUAGGCGACGAUCCCUAGCUGGUCUGAGAGGAUGAUCAGCCACACUGGGACUGAGACGCGGCGCCGACUCCUACGGGAGGCAGCGGUGGAGAAUAUUGCACAAUGAGCGCAAGCGUAAUGCAGCCAUGCGGGGUGUAUGAAGAAGGCCUUCGGGUUGUAAAGUUCUUUCGGUAGCGAGGCGUUAACUACAGAAGAAGCACCGGCUAACUCCGUGCCAGCAGCCGCGGUAAUUC
rnacentral:rRNA from 1 species